rnacentral:rRNA from 1 species
UAACCGCCGGAAACGGUGGCUAAUACUGGAUAGGUGCCAAGGCCGCAUGGUCUUUGGUUGGAAAGAUUUUCGGUUCUGGAUCGGCUCGCGGCCUAUCAGCUUGUUGGUGGGGUAAUGGCCUACCAAGGCGACGACGGGUAGCCGGCCUGAGAGGGUGACCGGCCACACUGGGACUGAGACACGGCCCAG